rnacentral:rRNA from 1 species
UUCCUACGGGAGGCAGCAGGGGGGAAUAUUGGACAAUGGGGGGAACCCUGAUCCAGCCAUGCCGCGUGUGUGAAGAAGGCCUUAUGGUUGUAAAGCACUUUAAGCGAGGAGGAGGCUCUUUUGGUUAAUACCCAAGAUGAGUGGACGUUACUCGCAGAAUAAGCACCGGCUAACUCUGUGCCAGCAGCCGCGGUAAUACAGAGGGUGCGAGCGUUAAUCGGAUUUACUGGGCGUAAAGCGUGCGUAGGCGGCUUUUUAAGUCGGAUGUGAAAUCCCCGAGCUUAACUUGGGAAUUGCAUUCGAUACUGGGAAGCUAGAGUAUGGGAGAGGAUGGUAGAAUUCCAGGUGUAGCGGUGAAAUGCGUAGAGAUCUGGAGGAAUACCGAUGGCGAAGGCAGCCAUCUGGCCUAAUACUGACGCUGAGGUACGAAAGCAUGGGGAGCAAACAGGAUUAGAUACCCUGGUAGUCCAUGCCGUAAACGAUGUCUACUAGCCGUUGGGGUCUUUGAGACUUUAGUGGCGCAGCUAACGCGAUAAGUAGACCGCCUGGGGAGUACGGUCGCAAGACUAAAACUCAAAUGAAUUGACGG